CAGUCGCCGCGGGAAUACGAAGGGGGCUAGCGUUGUUCGGAAUUACUGGGCGUAAAGCGCACGUAGGCGGAUCGAUCAGUCAGGGGUGAAAUCCCAGGGCUCAACCCUGGAACUGCCUUUGAUACUGUCGAUCUGGAGUAUGGAAGAGGUGAGUGGAAUUCCGAGUGUAGAGGUGAAAUUCGUAGAUAUUCGGAGGAACACCAGUGGCGAAGGCGGCUCACUGGUCCAUUACUGACGCUGAGGUGCGAAAGCGUGGGGAGCAAACAGGAUUAGAUACCCCGGUAGUCCCUGUCUCUUAUAC
rnacentral:rRNA from 1 species